UACAGAGGUCCCAAGCGUUGUUCGGAUUCACUGGGCGUAAAGGGUGCGUAGGUGGCCAGGUAAGUUCGGUGUGAAAGCUCGGAGCUUAACUCCGAAAUGUCAUUGAAUACUAUCUGGCUAGAGGGUCGGAGGGGAGACUGGAAUUCUCGGUGUAGCAGUGAAAUGCGUAGAUAUCGAGAGGAACACCAGUGGCGAAGGCGAGUCUCUGGACGACACCUGACACUGAGGCAC
rnacentral:rRNA from 1 species